rnacentral:lncRNA from 1 species
CCCCCCCCCCAGUGACGUACUUCCACCCCUAGGCUGCAGCACCUAAACCAACUGAUUUCCUCAGGGAGACCAACAUCUCAUGCAAACCACAGCAGCCUGCAAAAGCCAGGCUUCAUUCUCGGUGUGUGUGUGUCCAGGAUCUUUCAUGGACCCAGAGAGGUGGUGAGGGUCUUUACUGCCUUACCGCUGGUAUUUGUCACAGAAGCAGAAGCGAAGACCUCACAUCUGCUGCACGUAAAGGCUAUGCUGUGGUGCCAUGCUAUGACUUAUAUGUGCCAUAGCAUGCAGAGAAUGAAUAUUUGGUUAAGGACCAAGACACCUUGCAGAAGAAAGAGUAUACAGUUCCAGAGUGGUGAACAUUCAUGGUGACAGAGUUGAAGCCUGAAGCACGGCAACAAGUGACAGGCAUGACUACACAAGGAGGAAGCUGAGAGCUCACACUCGACAAAACAGAGAACUCGAACUGGAAUGUAAACUGAAGACCAGAAGCUGACCUUUGGAGAUAUUUAGUCCAGUGGACUGAGCAGCUGCUGCACUCUCAGUAUCUUCAACGUGAGACAGCCAUGUCAGAAAACCCAACGCAUAUCAUUUUCAGGCUCUGAUGUCACUGUCUGGCCUAAGGCUCCUACAUGCAGUGGUGCUACUGAAUAUGAACUCACAUAAGUGUACACAAACACAUAAAAACAAAAAGAUAAAGUUUCACAAAAAAACAUUCAUACCACAGCAUGGAUGUUUCUCGCUGCACUUGGACAGAUUUUCAGUGGAAAGAACAGAAAGCAGAACAAAAGGAAUCAGAUGCUCCUGCCUGUGGAUGCCAUCACCUCCGUAGGCCACGAGUUCAUGGGAAGCAGAUCCCUGAACACCUCACUCCUCACCACGGUCGUCUAGGCUAGAUGAAAUAGCUCUUGGGCCUUGAAAGAUAUCCCGAGUGUAUGUCAGCCAGCCAUGAGUCCAAAGCCUUCACAAUACUUACCAAACGACUCACUUCUCUGGAAACGGCCUCAACUUUUCGAUUAUUAUUAGGAAUGUUUUGAAUUUUUAUGUUAAUGGCAGAGAGAAAGUAGAACAAAGAAGAAACGGGCCUGUCAUCUAAGCUGAGACGAUAAUCAGUAAUGAAAACGCAGGAAUGGCAUGGCCUCGUCGUCUAUGCACAUAUAUUUUAUGGGGUUAGGUUAGGUUCACACUCUCCUCAGACGGUUUAAGUCUGUCUUUGGCCCCCAACUCUCAAGAACCAGUUUCCCCGUUUUAUUAAUAUUUCUUUGUAGUUGUAGCCUAAUACUGAUCUAUGAUAUUUUGCCUAAUCGUUCACCUCUUUCGGGCAUUUUAUAACCUCCUUUUUGUCCCCCCUCUUCCUGACUGUAGGUUGUGUUUAAAUAAACCAAUUCAUACAAGUAGC